rnacentral:rRNA from 1 species
CCUACGGGUGGCUGCAGUGGGGAAUAUUGCACAAUGGGGGAAACCCUGAUGCAGCGACGCCGCGUGGGCGAAGAAGUAUUUCGGUAUGUAAAGCCCUAUCAGCAGGGAAGAAGAAAUGACGGUACCUGAGUAAGAAGCACCGGCUAAAUACGUGCCAGCAGCCGCGGUAAUACGUAUGGUGCAAGCGUUAUCCGGAAUCACUGGGCGUAAAGGGCGCGUAGGCGGUAAUAUAAGUCAGAUGUGAAAGGUGGGGGCUCAACCCCUAGAGUGCAACUGAUACUGUAUAACUUGAGUGUGAGAGAGGGAAGCGGAAUUCCUAGUGUAGCGGUGAAAUGCGUAGAUAUUAGGAGGAACACCAGUGGCGAAGGCGGCUUUCUGGCUCAUAACUGACGCUGAGGCGCGAAAGCGUGGGGAGCAAACAGGAUUAGAUACCCUUGUAGUC